rnacentral:rRNA from 1 species
CCUACGGGGGGCAGCAGUGAGGAAUAUUGGUCAAUGGGCGCGAGCCUGAACCAGCCAAGUCGCGUGAGGGAAGACGGUCCUAUGGAUUGUAAACCUCUUUUGUCGGGGAGCAAAAGACGCCACGCGUGGCGUUCCGAGAGUACCCUAAGAAAAAGCAUCGGCUAACUCCGUGCCAGCAGCCGCGGUAAUACGUAGGAGGCAAGCGUUAUCCGGAAUUACGGGGUGUAAAGGGAGCGUAGACGGUUAAGUAAGUCUGUAGUGAAAGGCCGGGGCCCAACCCCGGGACUGCACUGGAAACUAUUGAACUUGAGUGCAGGUGAGGUAAGCGGAAUUCCUAGUGUAGCGGUGAAAUGCGUAGAUAUUAGGAAGAACACCGGUGGCGAAGGCGGCUUACUGGACUGUAACUGACGUUGAGGCUCGAAAGCGUGGGGAGCAAACAGGAUUAGAUACCCCAGUAGUC